rnacentral:rRNA from 1 species
CAGGCCUAACACAUGCAAGUCGAACGAGGUAGCAAUACCUAGUGGCGAACGUGUGAGGAAUGCUUGGGAAUCUACCGUGUAGUGGGGGAUAACGUUUCGAAAGGAACGCUAAUACCGCAUACGUCCUACGGGAGAAAGGGGGGGAUCUUCGGACCUCUCGCUAUACGAUGAGCCCAAGUCGGAUUAGCUAGUUGGUGGGGUAAAGGCCUACCAAGGCGACGAUCCGUAGCUGGUCUGAGAGGAUGAUCAGCCACACUGGAACUGAGACACGGUCCAGACUCCUACGGGAGGCAGCAGUGGGGAAUAUUGGACAAUGGGGGCAACCCUGAUCCAGCCAUGCCGCGUGUGUGAAGAAGGCCUUCGGGUUGUAAAGCACUUUAAGCGGGGAGGAAGGGCGCCUGGAUAAUACCUGGGUGCAUUGACGUUACCCGCAGAAUAAGCACCGGCUAACUCUGUGCCAGCAGCCGCGGUAAUACAGAGGGUGCAAGCGUUAAUCGGAAUUACUGGGCGUAAAGCGCGCGUAGGCGGUUAUGCAAGUUGGAGGUGAAAUCCCCGGGCUCAACCUGGGCACUGCCUUCAAAACUGCAUGGCUAGAGUAUGGGAGAGGAAGGUAGAAUUCCAGGUGUAGCGGUGAAAUGCGUAGAGAUCUGGAGGAAUACCGAUGGCGAAGGCAGCCUUCUGGCCUAAUACUGACGCUGAGGUGCGAAAGCAUGGGGAGCAAACAGGAUUAGAUACCCUGGUAGUCCAUGC